GAUGAAGAACGCAGCGAAAAGCGACAAGUAAUGUGAAUUGCAGAAUUCAGUGAAUCAUCGAGUCUUUGAACGCACAUUGCGCCCCCUGGUAUUCCGGGGGGCAUGCCUGUCCGAGCGUCAUUGCUGCCCUCAAGCACGGCUUGUGUGUUGGGCCUCCGUCCUCCUCCCGGGGGACGGGCCCGAAAGGCAGCGGCGGCACCGCGUCCGGUCCUCGAGCGUAUGGGGCUUCGUCACCCGCUCUUGUAGGCCCGGCCGGCGCUUGCCGACACAUCAAUCUUUUUUCCAGGUUGACCUCGGAUCAGGUAGGGAUACCCGCUGAACUUAAGCAUAUCAAUAAGCGGAGGA
rnacentral:misc_RNA from 1 species